AACGAACGCUGGCGGCAGGCUUAACACAUGCAAGUCGAACGCGUGUAGCAAUACACGAGUGGCGCACGGGUGAGUAACGCGUGGAUAUCUGCCUUUUGGUUCGGAAUAACCCCGGGAAACUGGGGCUAAUACCGGAUGGUUCCUUCGGGAUAAAGAUUUAUCGCCAAAAGAUGAGUCCGCGUACGAUUAGCUAGUUGGUGAGGUAAUGGCUCACCAAGGCGACGAUCGUUAGCUGGUCUGAGAGGACGAUCAGCCACACUGGGACUGAGACACGGCCCAGACUCCUACGGGAGGCAG
rnacentral:rRNA from 1 species